UUAGAGUUUGAUCCUGGCUCAGGAUGAACGCUAGCGGCAGGCUUAACACAUGCAAGUCGAGGGGCAGCGAGAUCAGUGCUUGCACUGAUUGUCGGCGACCGGCGCACGGGUGCGUAACGCGUAUGCAACCUACCCAUUACAGGGGGAUAACACUGAGAAAUCGGUACUAAUACCCCAUAACAUCCAGGGAGGCAUCUUCUUGGGUUGAAAACUCCGGUGGUAAUGGAUGGGCAUGCGUUGUAUUAGUUAGUUGGUGGGGUAACGGCUCACCAAGACAACGAUACAUAGGGGGACUGAGAGGUUAACCCCCCACAUUGGUACUGAGACACGGACCAAACUCCUACGGGAGGCAGCAGUGAGGAAUAUUGGUCAAUGGACGCAAGUCUGAACCAGCCAUGCCGCGUGCAGGAAGACGGCUCUAUGAGUUGUAAACUGCUUUUGUACGAGGGUAAACGCAGAUACGCGUAUCUGUCUGAAAGUAUCGUACGAAUAAGGAUCGGCUAACUCCGUGCCAGCAGCCGCGGUAAUACGGAGGAUUCAAGCGUUAUCCGGAUUUAUUGGGUUUAAAGGGUGCGUAGGCGGUCGGAUAAGUUAGAGGUGAAAUCCCGGGGCUCAACUUCGGAAUUGCCUCUGAUACUGUUCGGCUAGAGAGUAGUUGCGGUAGGCGGAAUGUAUGGUGUAGCGGUGAAAUGCUUAGAGAUCAUACAGAACACCGAUUGCGAAGGCAGCUUACCAAGCUACUUCUGACGUUGAGGCACGAAAGCGUGGGGAGCAAACAGGAUUAGAUACCCUGGUAGUCCACGCAGUAAACGAUUGAUAACUGGUUGUUGGGGAUACAGUGUCGGUGAUUAAGCGAAAGCGAUAAGUUAUCCACCUGGGGAGUACGUUCGCAAGAAUUGAAACUCAAAGGAAUUGACGGGGGCCCGCACAAGCGGAGGAGCAUGUGGUUUAAUUCGAUGAUACGCGAGGAACCUUACCCGGGCUUGAAAGUUAGUGACGGAUCUUGAAAGAGGUCUUCCCUUCGGGGCACGAAACUAGGUGCUGCAUGGUUGUCGUCAGCUCGUGCCGUGAGGUGUCGGGUUAAGUCCCAUAACGAGCGCAACCCCUACCGUUAGUUGCCAGCAGGUCAAGCUGGGCACUCUGACGGGACUGCCGGUGUAAGCCGAGAGGAAGGUGGGGAUGACGUCAAAUCAGCACGGCCCUUACGUCCGGGGCUACACACGUGUUACAAUGGCAGGUACAGAGGGCAGCUACCCAGCGAUGGGAUGCGAAUCUCGAAAGCCUGUCUCAGUUCGGAUUGGAGGCUGAAACCCGCCUCCAUGAAGUUGGAUUCGCUAGUAAUCGCGCAUCAGCCAUGGCGCGGUAAAGGCGUUCCCGGGCCUUGUACACACCGCCC
rnacentral:rRNA from 1 species